rfam:Magnaporthe oryzae 70-15 chromosome 7, whole genome shotgun sequence.
GGGGCUGUAACUCAGUGGAAGAGUGCUCGCUUUGCAUUGCCACGGCAAUCUAGUGCCUGCGAGAUGCCCAGGGUUCGAUCCCCUGCUGCUCCA